rnacentral:rRNA from 1 species
CCGGACCACGACCAGCGAGUUGUCUUGUCUGAUAUUAGAGGAAGGUAGCGUCUACUUCGGUGGAUGUGUUAUAGCCUCUGAUUCGGAGCGAGCGACGCGUUGGAUUACUCGAUGCCUGCCCUUUGGGCUCGUACGUUGCACCUUUCGGGGGUGUCGCUGGCUUCACUGCUUCGGCAGGGGUGUUGGAGACGCUUCAGUUAGGGACGGCCUCUGCGAUUGGCGUCAACAGUCAGUGGUUUCGAAGUAGGCAGUCCACCUGACCCGUCUUGAAACACGGACCAAGGAGUCUAACAUGUGCGCGAGUCAUUGGGCUCUACGAAACCUAAAGGCGAAGUGAAAGUAAAGAUCCAUUUUGGUGGAUUGAGGUAGGAUCCUGGGUUACGUGCUCAGGCGCACUACCGGCCCGUCCGACAUGUUUUCAUACGGGCGGCGCAAGAGCGUACACGUUGGGACCCGAAAGAUGGUGAACUAUGCUUGCGCAGGUCGAAGCCAGAGGAAACUCUGGUGGAGGACCGUAGCGAUUCUGACGUGCAAAUCGAUCGUCAAACGUGAGUAUAGGGGCGAAAGACUAAUCGAACCAUCUAGUAGCUGGUUCCCUCCGAAGUUUCCCUCAGGAUAGCUGGCACUCGGGAAAUGAAACAGUUUUAUCCGGUAAAGCGAAUGAUUAGAGGUAUUGGGACGAAACUGCUCUCAACCUAUUCUCAAACUUUAAAUGGGUAAGAUGCCCGACUCGCUCAAUUGGAGCCGGGCUUCCU